rnacentral:rRNA from 1 species
UACGGAGGGUGCAAGUGUUAUCCGGAUUCACUGGGUUUAAAGGGUGCGUAGGCGGACAGGUAAGUCAGUGGUGAAAUCUCUGGGCUUAACCCAGAAACUGCCGUUGACACUAUUUGUCUUGAAUAUCCUGGAGGUAGGCGGAAUAUGUCAUGUAGCGGUGUAAUGCUUAGAUAUGACAUAGAACACCGAUAGCGAAGGCAGCUUACUACAGGAUGAUUGACGCUGAGGCACGAAAGCGUGGGGAGCAAACAGG